AUACGGAGGAUGCGAGCGUUAUCCGGAUUUAUUGGGUUUAAAGGGUGCGUAGGCGGAUCAAUAAGUCAGUGGUGAAAUUCUGCAGCUUAACUGUAGACUUGCCAUUGAUACUGUUAGCCUUGAGUUUGGUUAAGGUAGGCGGAAUGUGUAAUGUAGCGGUGAAAUGCUUAGAUAUUACACAGAACACCAAUUGCGUAGGCAGCUUACUGAGCCGACACUGACGCUGAGGCACGAAAGCGUGGGGAUC
rnacentral:rRNA from 1 species